AUUUAAUUUCUCCUCUUAAACUACCGUCUGCUAUUUCAGUUUUCCAUAAAAUUUUCGCUGCAUCUUCACUGCAUGAUAAUGGUUCUCGUUCUUGUGGAGAUACCCACCAGAAUAAAUAUAUAUGUAAAUGGUAACAUGAAAUAAAAUUAAUGGAAUCAAAUAGAUGGAAUAAGAUGACUGAAAUUAGUUUGAAAACUAAAUAUUUUCAUUCCAUUCAUUCAUAAUCAAAAUUGUAAAGUAAUGUGUUGGUAUGUUUUUCUUUUUAUUUUUUGGAAUGUUUGUGGAAUUCAUAAAAUUAGUAUUCCAUUACUAGAAUGUCAAAUGGUAAUUUUUUUUUGAAAUUAAUAGAAUAAGCCAUUCCAUAUCUUCUCAUUCUAAAAAGUAAAAAUCAACAAUUCAGUUGCACCCUAAUCAUUUUUUCAGUUGAUUAGGUUUUUCUAAUUAACUAUCUUAUCUUUUUAUUAUAAGUUUCAUACUGACAAAGUUUAGUUUCUCAAGUAGAACAGAUUUCCAGUUGAGGUUUUUUCUCCCCAAUGUCAUCUUGAUAUUACAAGUAUAAUUGUUGAAGAUAUAUUGAAUGAGCAGUUAAAAUAACACUUAGUUUACAAAAAAGAUAAUUUAAUUCAUAAACUCUAAUCCAACUUUUAUUCCUUAAAUAUUAUUCUUUAAAUUUUAAUCACGAAACUCUAAAACCUACAAAGAAUACAUAUAUUCGUUUUUUAUUUUUAAUAAAUAAGAUUCAAAAAAAAAAAAUUCCUAAUUUUGUAGUGUUAUUCAAGUCUAAUACAUAUUUGUUAUGUGGUGACCUCCUUUUCAGAUCAAUUAGAAAUUUUACUUACUUCAAGGCUAGGCAAACCAUUUAGUAUUGAGGUUUAUGUCUCAUCAUGGGAGAGGCUUUGUGGUGAUCUACUUUUAAAAGUAAUAAGACCAUUGAUUAGUCCACAGACUGGAAUCACAAUUCAGGUAUACACUAGAUUUUAGGGAAAUUAAUGAAUUAUGAAACAUAACCCAUAAUUAACAUGUUGAUAUUUAGUAUAUGAAACAUACACCUAAGCUAAUUGCACUGAUUAUGGAAUCAUGUUGACUUCUAAAAUCAAUUCUGGUUUAGAAAUGGAAAGAGUGUAUGAUUUGAUGAUUUAUAAUAGUUCGGAAAUUAUUAUUGAUAAUAUAAUGUCAAUACUAAAAUUUAAUUACGGUCGUGGUUUAUGAACGUUUACCAAGAAAUCUAUCUUAUUAAAGGAGGAUUAAAUGAGGAGUACAAAUACGAAAUCACCUUAAAGCUUACAACUUAUUUACAAAAAAAUGACACUGCAAUAAAUAAUAAGCCUAAUUACUUUAAGCAUUAAUGUCCUUUCCUAAUUUGAUAUAUCUAUCUUACGCUAUUAAAAGGAGAAUAUGAAACCCUGUUAAGCUGUCAACGUCAGCGAAAAAAUUCGCAACCAAUUGUUUGUCAAUGUCAUCAUGGAUGUUAAGUUGUUGGGCCACGAAUCUGUGCUGCGUAAUAGGCCAUCUAGCUUUAAUGACCCAUUUGUUUUGUUAUCUUCUUACUCCAACCUAAUUUUGUUACGACGUCUACAGAAGACCUUCCAGAACUCACUGUCUUCUUAUCUCUUCUGUAUAACGCCUGCGACUGCUAUAAUGACGAAUUAAAGCUACUUAAUUACUCCUCUAGACAAAUCGGCGUCUAACUCUCCACAUCCCUCCUCUUACUCAAUCAUAACGAUGUCUCGUCGAGCCAAAAAUCUAUUGCUCAGAUCCUCAAAUCCAUUCCUAGCUUUAUGGCAAAUCAAACGGCAGUCACCACCACCCAAAUUCAUUCCCCACUUUUCUUCAGUAAGGUUUCAUCAGGACCCGGAGAUUCCCAGUUGCUUUUUAAGCUAAUCUAUUUCUGGAGAGCUCGAAAUAAUUUCAAAGGAGGCAUCUUUCUCGGCCUUGAGAUGCUGAUGAUUGAUGAAGAGGUAUGUGUCCAUAUUUCAAUAUUAUGUUUCCGAUUUCGUACACGCCUUUGAUUUUUUCUAACAGAGAGAGAAUAUGUUAACAAAAUUGUAUCAUGAAACUCAACACCUAAGAAUUUUUAACAUUAAGAGAUAAUUUUUAAGAUUAGUUAAAUAAGUGAUCAUCUGUGAAUAUGUUAAUGGUUCUCAAUAUCCUUUUAUGUAGUAACUAAAUACAGAAUUGUUCAUAUUGAAAUCUACUACAUAUUUCACAUUUUUAUAACAAAUAAUUAUUUACAAAAUAAUAAAUACCAAAAAGUUUAAUAUUGAAAAUAAAUUAUGGCUUCAAAACUUAAAGAAUUGCUGAAUCAUUUUAUUGGUUAUCAAAAUUUACAGAUUUAAGUAUUCAAAAUUAUUACACAUUUAUAAAAUUAUAUAUUUAUAUGAAAUAAAGGUUAUUUACCUAUACUUCAAAAAAUAAUUCAAAAUCAAUCAGACGAUAUAUAAGAAAAUAUAUAAUAUACAUAAGAUGAUAGAAUUUUUUUUAUUUUAUUAAAUGUAGAGUAUUUAAAUUUUAAGAAAGAUUUAAAAAUGGUUACGAAAAGAUUAAUAUAGACAUUUAAUAUGUUAACAUAAAUUAAUGAUAUUUCAAACAAAAAUAUAUAUCGAAACAUAUAAAUGAUAUAAUAUUAAAAAAAACAAACUUAUAUUUUUUUUUUAAUCUAAGGUUUAAUGUUUAUAGACAAACAAACCGCGCGUAGCGCGGUAAAAUCUCUAGUUACUAUAAAACGCGCGGUAAAAUCUCUAGUUACUAUAAAAAACGAAUUAACUAUCUCCUUAAGCCUCCACAUAAGAAUAUGAGUUUCUAAGAACCUGCCACGUGUCCAUUUAAGUUAGUUUACUUGCUUUUUGUUCGUCUUCGAAAUAGAUUUGACGGGCUUCAGACAUUCAGCAUUGGGGCUAUCGAAUUUUGCUUCUUUGAAUUUGAUUCUAUAUGGGCUUAUGGGGCUAUCUUUUUUUUUUAACUCAGAUUUGUAAAGUUAAUACCCAGCCCCAUAGAAACAGAUUAUCUUCUUCGUGAGAGGCGAUAAAGAAACGAGUUUUAGAAAGACGGUCUCCGUCUGUGAUGAGAGUAUCAAAGACACGAGUCUCCUGAUCGUCGCGUCUAUGUCGAUCCGUUUGCUUCAGUAUCGAUUCAUCUCUUCGUGUGUUUCGAUAUCGAUUCAUCUCCUCGCAGGCGUUACAACCUGCAUUGAUACAACGCCAUUAGAGAUCAAUCAUUCGAAUUUUUUUUCUCAUCUCCUAUGUUCUAUUUUCUGAUCUGAAGGCCAGUUGCCCCGUGGAGGUGCGACUGCUCAAGUCUAGCCUCCUCCCUCCUCAUGGAUCGAACCUUCCUUAUGCUUCACUCCAAGCCUUUUGUUCAAGGAAGCUUUAAUGUGUUUGGCUGGAGACUUCUCAGGAAAGGCCAUCGGAAGAGUACUGUUCAAGGUGUGGAAGUUCUCGCCGGAGAGGGAGAAACACCGGAAGCAAGAGGACUCGAUCAGCCAUGUCUCGAUUUUUUACCGGUUACGAUCCGUUUUUUGGGUUGCUUUGUCUCCAUCUCUCAAAGACUUAUCAGUUGAUGUCUGCUUAAGAAACUCUUCAUCUUCCAUAACCGGGUCUAACCCAUACCCUAAUGGUUUCCGGAAGCUGAUAAGAUCAAAAAUUUAGCUAGACAAAGCAAGCAGCUUGGGAAACUAAAAGUAUGGAUUGGCGUUGUUUCUAGACUUUUUAGUUUAAAUUUAUUGUGUGAAAAAGAAUAUUUGUUGCUUGGAUCAUCUUCUUGCAUUUUCAGGUGACUAAGUUUGCAAGUCUCAGGAGCAUCUUUACCAUUUGUUUUUUUACGGAAUUUACUGUUUCAUAUUUGUAGUGCUUACCUCUUUUUUAAUAUUACGCAGUACUCGCUAAAGAAUAACGGUUAACUAUAAAAUAACAUAAUAGUAUACAAAUACGAGUCCAAACGAUCUUAAAGAAUUUGUCUAAGUUUAGAUUAAUUGAUAUUUUUAUCCUGUCA